rnacentral:rRNA from 1 species
UACGAAGGGGGCUAGCGUUGUUCGGAGUUACUGGGCGUAAAGGGCGCGUAGGCGGCGCAUCAAGUCAGGCGUGAAAGCCCUGGGCUCAACCCGGGAAUUGCGCUUGAGACUGGUGUGCUUGAGUACGGGAGAGGAUAGUGGAAUUCCCAGUGUAGAGGUGAAAUUCGUAGAUAUUGGGAAGAACACCAGUGGCGAAGGCGGCUAUCUGGGACCGUAACUGACGCUGAGGCGCGAAAGCGUGGGGA